ACGAUAUGCUUUGGGGAGCUGUAAGUAAGCUUUGAUCCAGAGAUUUCCGAAUGGGGAAACCCAGCAUGAGUUAUGUCAUGUUAUCGAUAUGUGAAUACAUAGCAUAUCAGAAGGCACACCCGGAGAACUGAAACAUCUUAGUACCCGGAGGAAGAGAAAGAAAAUUCGAUUCCCUUAGUAGCGGCGAGCGAAACGGGAAGAGCCCAAACCAACAAGCUUGCUUGUUGGGGUUGUAGGACACUCUAUACGGAGUUACAAAGGACGACAUUAGACGAAUCAUCUGGAAAGAUGAAUCAAAGAAGGUAAUAAUCCUGUAGUCGAAAAUGUUGUCUCUCUUGAGUGGAUCCUGAGUACGACGGAGCACGUGAAAUUCCGUCGGAAUCUGGGAGGACCAUCUCCUAAGGCUAAAUACUCUCUAGUGACCGAUAGUGAACCAGUACCGUGAGGGAAAGGUGAAAAGCACCCCGGAAGGGGAGUGAAAUAGAACCUGAAACCGUGUGCUUACAAGUAGUCAGAGCCCGUUAAUGGGUGAUGGCGUGCCUUUUGUAGAAUGAACCGGCGAGUUACGAUUUGAUGCAAGGUUAAGCAGUAAAUGUGGAGCCGUAGCGAAAGCGAGUCUGAAUAGGGCGUUUAGUAUUUGGUCGUAGACCCGAAACCAGGUGAUCUACCCUUGGUCAGGUUGAAGUUCAGGUAACACUGAAUGGAGGACCGAACCGACUUACGUUGAAAAGUGAGCGGAUGAACUGAGGGUAGCGGAGAAAUUCCAAUCGAACCUGGAGAUAGCUGGUUCUCUCCGAAAUAGCUUUAGGGCUAGCCUCAAGUGAUGAUUAUUGGAGGUAGAGCACUGUUUGGACGAGGGGCCCCUCUCGGGUUACCGAAUUCAGACAAACUCCGAAUGCCAAUUAAUUUAACUUGGGAGUCAGAACAUGGGUGAUAAGGUCCGUGUUCGAAAGGGAAACAGCCCAGACCACCAGCUAAGGUCCCAAAAUAUAUGUUAAGUGGAAAAGGAUGUGGCGUUGCCCAGACAACUAGGAUGUUGGCUUAGAAGCAGCCAUCAUUUAAAGAGUGCGUAAUAGCUCACUAGUCGAGUGACACUGCGCCGAAAAUGUACCGGGGCUAAACAUAUUACCGAAGCUGUGGAUUGUCCUUUGGACAAUGGUAGGAGAGCGUUCUAAGGGCGUUGAAGCAUGAUCGUAAGGACAUGUGGAGCGCUUAGAAGUGAGAAUGCCGGUGUGAGUAGCGAAAGACGGGUGAGAAUCCCGUCCACCGAUUGACUAAGGUUUCCAGAGGAAGGCUCGUCCGCUCUGGGUUAGUCGGGUCCUAAGCUGAGGCCGACAGGCGUAGGCGAUGGAUAACAGGUUGAUAUUCCUGUACCACCUAUAAUCGUUUUAAUCGAUGGGGGGACGCAGUAGGAUAGGCGAAGCGUGCGAUUGGAUUGCACGUCUAAGCAGUAAGGCUGAGUAUUAGGCAAAUCCGGUACUCGUUAAGGCUGAGCUGUGAUGGGGAGAAGACAUUGUGUCUUCGAGUCGUUGAUUUCACACUGCCGAGAAAAGCCUCUAGAUAGAAAAUAGGUGCCCGUACCGCAAACCGACACAGGUAGUCAAGAUGAGAAUUCUAAGGUGAGCGAGCGAACUCUCGUUAAGGAACUCGGCAAAAUGACCCCGUAACUUCGGGAGAAGGGGUGCUCUUUAGGGUUAACGCCCAGAAGAGCCGCAGUGAAUAGGCCCAAGCGACUGUUUAUCAAAAACACAGGUCUCUGCUAAACCGUAAGGUGAUGUAUAGGGGCUGACGCCUGCCCGGUGCUGGAAGGUUAAGAGGAGUGGUUAGCUUCUGCGAAGCUACGAAUCGAAGCCCCAGUAAACGGCGGCCGUAACUAUAACGGUCCUAAGGUAGCGAAAUUCCUUGUCGGGUAAGUUCCGACCCGCACGAAAGGCGUAACGAUUUGGGCACUGUCUCAACGAGAGACUCGGUGAAAUCAUAGUACCUGUGAAGAUGCAGGUUACCCGCGACAGGACGGAAAGACCCCGUGGAGCUUUACUGUAGCCUGAUAUUGAAAUUCGGCACAGCUUGUACAGGAUAGGUAGGAGCCUUUGAAACGUGAGCGCUAGCUUACGUGGAGGCGCUGGUGGGAUACUACCCUAGCUGUGUUGGCUUUCUAACCCGCACCACUUAUCGUGGUGGGAGACAGUGUCAGGCGGGCAGUUUGACUGGGGCGGUCGCCUCCUAAAAGGUAACGGAGGCGCUCAAAGGUU
rnacentral:rRNA from 1 species